rnacentral:lncRNA from 1 species
AUAGCACGGAUAACUGAUUAAGGAUGUUGUUUGCACAUUUCUCAAGAGGCAGUAGAUUAUGUUUUUACCAAAAAUCCCCUUGUUUGCAUUUGUUAGUUGUUGCUAUGAAUUAGAGUGGCAAAAGGCUCAUUAAUUUUUCUGUUUACAUUUGUUAGUUUUUGCUAUGAAAGAAUGUUCAGCUCACUUGAAAGAAAACUCGUUCAGGAUUUUUGUGAUGUAUUCAGAGUCAUAAUACUCAAUUAAGGACCUCAAAAAGUACCUUUAAUAAGCAGGAACUAAACGUGCUCUUACGCCAUCCAUCCUCUGAAGUAUUAACCUUUUAAUAAGCAGGAACUGAACUAAAUGUGCUCUUACACUGCUUCCUACAUUGAUCAUCAUUUUUCAUUAAGAAAAUUACCAUAAUUUUGUCUCCAUGGAUCAAGAUGGAAAGAAAAAUGCUAUCAAAUCUUUUUUUGAAGUUUUCAUACAUCAUAGAUAUUAAAAUAACUGAAUAAUUGAAAUAUUUAAGGAGACAAAAUGAUCACCAAAUGUUUGUUAAGAACUAUGUACAUUUGUCUCGGCGGUGAGAAUUGAUUAUGGUUUUUUGUUCAUAAAUGCAGGAUAUCUAGAAAUUCUAGAUUUCGAAGAUGACAGUCAGAAGAAUAACAACUUAGAGGAGGAGACUAAGAUUAUCGUGCCUCAAGUUGAAAUGAAAUUUAACGAUGAAAAUGAGAUAUUUGAAUUUUACAAGAACUACACAUUCCAAAUCGAUUUUCCCAUUAGAAAAAAGAAUUCGAAGAAGGGUGAUGGCGAGGUUGUCCAUUAUGUAACUUUCACAUGUAGCAGAGAAGGCCGUCGAACGAGUGGUAUUAAUUCUUGUAUUAAGCCUCAACCAACCAACCAAACUGGGUGUAAAGCAAGACUGACAGCGUGUUAUGAACUAAAUGGAAAGUGGCAUAUUAACACUAUCCACCUAGAGCGCAAUCAUAGAACAAGCCCAUCAAAAUUGAGACUGUAUUGUUACAAUCGCGAGAUUAGCGCACGUGUGAAACGACAGCUCGAAAUAAAUGAUAUUCGUGGUAUACCGUUGCACAAGAUUUUUAACUCAACAGUAGUUGAGGCUGGUGGUUAUAGCAAUAUAACAUGUGUCGAGAAAGACUGCAGAAAUUUCAUUGACAAGGUUUGUCGGUUACGACUUAGUGAAGGAUAUGUUGUUGCUAUACAAGCGUAUUUCUCGAAGAUGCAACAAGUAGUCAUGGUUUCUAUUUUAGUAUAGACUUGGAUGACGAGGCCCAUCUGAAGAACAUUUUUUGGGCUGAUAAUAGGUAAAGAGAAACGUGUAAGGAGUUCGGGGACAUAGUGACAUUUGAAAUCACAUAUUUGACUAACAACUAUGAUAUGCCAUUCACUCCGUUUCUUGGGGUGAAUCAUCAUGGGCAGUCAACUCUCAUUGGAUGUGGAUUGGUUUUGAAUGAAGAUACAACGACCUUCGUAUGGCUUUUUAGGACAUGACUGGAAUGUAUGCAUGGUAAGCCAAGUGGAAUUAGUAUGGAUCAAGAUCGAGCUAUGCAGAAUGCAAUUAAACUUGUUUUUCUGAAUACAAGGCACAGAUGGUGUUUGUGGCACAUUUUGAAGAAGUUACCAGAGGAAUUUGGCAACCACAGACACAAAGCUUCUAUUCUUUCCCUAUACAAAUUAUUUUCAAUCAAAUCAGUUGUCUUUUGAUUCUAUGAGCAUUGAAAACAAUACAAAAAAUAUAUAUAUCAUAUAAUACAGAACUAAGAAGACAAUAUAGAAAUUGGUAGACAAAAUGCAAAUCAUUUCAAGAAAAGUUAACGAGAGGGACCGUAGCACUUGUUAUUGAUUAAGGCAAAAAAUGCAUACAGAAUAUAUAUCAACACUAAGACAUAUGGUAGCUUAUAGAUGUUUGGAAAUUCCACAUACCGUAAAAUUGAUUUCUAGAAUUUCAGACGCUGGGGGUUUGGAAAAGUUGAGACCGUAGCACCGACGAUUUGCAGAGAUGACAGCACC